rnacentral:rRNA from 1 species
UACGUAGGGUGCUAGCGUUGUUCGGAAUUAUUGGGCGUAAAGGGUGCGUAGGCGGUUUGGUAAGUCUGAUGUGAAAUCUAUGGGCUCAACUCAUAGUCUGCAUCGGAAACUGCCGGGCUUGAGUGUGGGAGAGGUGAGUGGAAUUCCUGGUGUAGCGGUGAAAUGCGUAGAUAUCAGGAGGAACACCUGUGGCGAAAGCGGCUCACUGGACCAUAACUGACGCUGAUGCACGAAAGCUAGGGGAGCAAACAGG